GACGAACGCUGGCGGCGUGCCUAAUACAUGCAAGUCGAGCGGAUCUUCAUUAGCUUGCUUUUGAAGAUCAGCGGCGGACGGGUGAGUAACACGUGGGCAACCUGCCUGUAAGACUGGGAUAACUUCGGGAAACCGGAGCUAAUACCGGAUAAUCCUUUUCCUCUCAUGGGGAAAAGCUGAAAGACGGUUUCGGCUGUCACUUACAGAUGGGCCCGCGGGGCAUUAGCUAGUUGGUGAGGUAACGGCUCACCAAGGCGACGAUGCGUAGCCGACCUGAGAGGGUGAUCGGCCACACUGGGACUGGGACACGGCCCAGACUCCUACGGGAGGCAGCAGUAGGGAAUCUUCCGCAAUGGACGAAAGUCUGACGGAGCAACGCCGCGUGAGCGAUGAAGGCCUUCGGGUCGUAAAGCUCUGUUGUCAGGGAAGAACAAGUACCGGAGUAACUGCCGGUACCUUGACGGUACCUGACCAGAAAGCCACGGCUAACUACGUGCCAGCAGCCGCAGUAAUAC
rnacentral:rRNA from 1 species